CAGCCGCCGCGGUAAUACCGAGGGUGCGAGCGUUAAUCGGAUUUACUGGGCGUAAAGCGUGCGUAGGCGGCUUCUUAAGUCGGAUGUGAAAUCCCUGAGCUUAACUUAGGAAUUGCAUUCGAUACUGGGAAGCUAGAGUAUGGGAGAGGAUGGUAGAAUUCCAGGUGUAGCGGUGAAAUGCGUAGAGAUCUGGAGGAAUACCGAUGGCGAAGGCAGCCAUCUGGCCUAAUACUGACGCUGAGGUACGAAAGCAUGGGGAGCAAACAGGAUUAGAUACCCCUGUAGUCCCUGUCUCUUAUCC
rnacentral:rRNA from 1 species